ensembl:lncRNA
CUUCCCGGAAGCAGGCGUCACGGCUUGUGCGGCUGGAGGCUUCUCCUGUUUUUUUAGUUACUGGGCUUGUUGGCUGAGUGAAUGAGUGUACUGCUGGUUUCGAUGGUGGGAACUGUUGCACCUACGAGGUCCAUCCAUUGGAAAAGGCAAUGGCACCCCCUCCAGUACUCUUGCCUGGAAAACCCCAUGGAUGGAGGAGCCUGGUGGGCUGCAGUCUAUGGGGUCUCGAAGAGUCAGACACCACUGAGUGACUUCACUUUCACUUUUCACUUUCCUGCAUUGGAGAAGGAAAUGGCAACCCACUCCAGUAUUUUUGCCUGGAGAAUCCUAGGGACAGAGGAGCCUGGUGGGCUGCCGUCUCUGGGGUUGCACAGAGUCGGACACACCUGAAGCGACUUAGCAGCAGCAGCAGCAGCAGCAGAUCCAUCCAUGUGGCUGCAAAUGGCAUUAUUUCAUUCUUUUUAAUGGCUGAGUAAUAUUCCAUUGUAUAUAUGUACCACAUCUUCUUUACCCAUUCUUCUGUUCCCUUCCAGCUCAGAGGUAAAGAAUCCUCCAGCAAUGCAGGGUGAUUCUGUUUUAAUGACCUCAUUCUCUGGGACAUUUUCUUAUAUAGAAUGAUAGUAGCACCUGCAUAAUUCUUCCUGCCGGUACAAACCCUUGCUAUUCCUCAGUGAGAUUAGGGAAGAGCAGCCUUCCUAGUUGGUCUCCUUACUUCCUCUUUGCUCAAAUUCAUAUUCUUAAAUAUAAAUCUGAUCAUGUGACUUACCUCAGUGUAUUAGGCAACUGCUCUGCAGGCUAAAGCCUAACACUUAAGCAUGACAUUCAAAGUCCGUCUCAAACUGGCUUGAAAUGACUUUUGCUAGUCUUGCUUCCCUGGCACCACUCAUCUUAAACUAUCUGCACUGUGUUUCCCACACACUAUCCAGUCUCAUGCUUUCUGUGGUUUUGCAGAGGUUAGUUCCUUGGCCUAGAGUGCCCACCUCCUUCACCACAAUUCUUGCUAUAAAGAGAUUUUGGUUAAUUCUUUAGGGAUCAGCUUAUAUAAGACUCCAUCUGAGAUGUUUUCUGAUUCAGUCAUUCUCCAGCAGGCAUAAUUCCCCCUCUGUGUUUUCAUUGCACUUUAAAUGGCUCUGCUGUAGCACUUACCGUGUGACAGUUAUUUAGAUGCCGGUUGACCCUGCUAGACUGUGAGAUUCUUGAGAACAGGAAUUCUCUCUCAGCUUUGUAUUCAUUAGCACACAGUGGCUGCCUGCCAUAUCGUGGAUGGUCAAAACUUAUGGAAAAAUCUCAGAAAAGAUGAAAAUACUACAUGAUGCAAAUUACUGUGAUUUAUAAAUUGUUCUUAAAAUAUAGUCUUAAAAAUCAACCCAUAUCCAUUGACAGAUGAAUGGAUAAAGAAGUUGUGGUACAUAUACACAACGGGAUAUUACUCAGC